UGUUUAUGUAUACAUACACACAUUUAACAGCAGGACUGUCAGUACUUACUAAUUUAGUAGUUUGACUCAGCUCGUGCUUUCAUUGGGAUCUAUUUCCUGCAAAUUAAGAACAUAUGUGUUAGUAUGGGAACAUACAAGAAGGUACUUACUUAAACAACAAUAUUUUUAUUUCAGGCUCCUUUGACUUUAACAUACACGAAUACUAAAUGGUGACAUUUCAUACCGUAUGACGCUGAUGACACAAACCCUGCUUCAGGCAAGGAAUCGAGCAAACACCACGGACAAGUGUCUUCAAACACCAACUCCAGGAAUGCCCUUCUCACUGUCGCAGGAAGAUACUCCAUGGUUUGUCGGCUCAGAAACUCCCAACCCAUAGCCUUAAUGCUGGUGAGCAUUUCUCCUAAAAGCUGUGCAGAGUUCAUGUUUUUAUAAAUGCAGCCACAAGAGGAUGUGGUGAGAUGUUUGGGGUGCUUCCUUUUUUAAUAUAUAAGUGGGUAGUGGUUAGAGCAGCCACCCAACAAGUGGGAUGGCUGGGCAUGAUUGAACCCACAUUUCUCAGUUCUCUCUUCUCAAGUACAUGAGUAACCACAGGGCAUCAGUGUUUCAGAGGAGGAAAAAAGGGGAGGGCGGAGGGUUGUCCUUGUACUUGGUGUGGAGAUUGUGCUCCUCACGGGGUUGCUAAGGGCUGCUCUUGUAUCCCUACCUUGAUCCAUCAUCAGUCAGCAGCAGAGGGGAGGCCUUGCAAGUGGGAACCUCACUGCUUCCUCUCUAGGAACAGACACCGCUGCCCACAUUUUUACUUGCUCUUGGGAAGAAAACGAAAAAAAAAAAAGGAUCAGUAUACAUCUGGUUUGCCCCACACACCUUCAGAAAGAGGACGAAGGGUGUUUCUGGCCCA
rnacentral:lncRNA from 1 species